UACGGAGGGGGCUAGCGUUGUUCGGAAUUACUGGGCGUAAAGCGCGCGUAGGCGGACCUGCAAGUCGGGGGUGAAAGCCCGAGGCUCAACCUCGGAACUGCCUUCGAUACUGCGGGUCUCGAGUCCGGGAGAGGUGAGUGGAAUUCCUAGUGUAGAGGUGAAAUUCGUAGAUAUUCGCAAGAACACCAGUGGCGAAGGCGGCUUACUGGUCCGGAUCUGACGCUGAGGCGCGAAAGCGUGGGGAGCAAACAGG
rnacentral:rRNA from 1 species